UACGUAGGGGGCAAGCGUUGUCCGGAAUCAUUGGGCGUAAAGCGCGUGUAGGCGGCUUGGUAAGUCUGGUGUGAAACCUCGGGGCUCAACCCCGAGCCUGCACUGGAUACUGCCUCGCUUGAGUCCGGGAGGGGAGAGCGGAAUUCCACGUGUAGCGGUGAAAUGCGUAGAGAUCUGGAGGAACACCGAUGGCGAAGGCAGCCUUCUGGGCCAACACUGACGCUCAUGCACGAAAGCGUGGGGAGCGAACAGG
rnacentral:rRNA from 1 species